AGGGUUAAGAAGAGAAUUUCCAGGUGGCGCCAAGUAGUUGAAGGCUACCAUUUGGUAGCCUCGAGAUCUCAUCUCUGCUGUUGCAGAUCUUGUGGUUCUCUUGGCUUCAUCAGAUGGUAGGUCACAUUGGAGUGGUUCGCAGCCCAGAUGACAGGCACUCUCUGACAGCUGACCCCACCAGCAUGAAGCCAGCAUCGCAGUCUGUUAUCCAGAGUGGUCACCAAGGCGGUGCUUUGAGGCUACCAAUAUAGACUAAG